rnacentral:rRNA from 1 species
CCAGCUCCAAUAGCGUAUAUUAAAGUUGUUGCAGUUAAAAGGCUCGUAGUCGAUUAUCUGAUUCUUCAGCAUUGUUCCAUUCUCUUGUAGAAUGUCGUGACAUUGCUUAGAAUCUUCCUGGUAGAAAGUACUUCUGCCCUUUAUUGGGUUGGUUGUAGGAUUUACCUCCUUUACUGUGAGAAAAACAAAGUGCUCAAAGCAGGCUUUUAAGCUUGAAUGAUUUAGCAUGGAAUAAUAAGAUAGGACUUUGUUUCUGUUUUGUUGUCUUUAAGAAGCGAAGUAAUGAUUGAUAGAGAUAGUUGGGGGUGCUCGUAUUUAACGGUCAGCGGUGAAAUGCUCGGACCCGUUAAAGACGAUCCAAUGCGAAAGCAUUCACCAAGGAUAUCUUCU